AUUGAACGCUGUCGGCAGGCCUAACACAUGCAAGUCGGACGAGCGGCGGACGGGUGAGUACUGUAUGGGGAUCUGCCGGAUGUGGGGGGAUAACUACUGGACACAGUAGAUAAUACCGCAUAACAUCCGAUAUGCGCAGAUGGUCUUAGCUAGUCGGUGGGGGAACGGCUCACCUAGGCGACGAUCCCUAGCUGGUCUGAGAGGAUGACCAGCCAAACUGUAACUGAGACACGGUCCAGACUCCUACGGGAGGCAGCAGUGGGGAAGAUUGCACAAUGGGCGCAAGCCUGAUGCAGCCAUGCCGCGUUUAUGAAGAAGGCCUUAGGGUUGUAAAGUACUUUCAGCGGGGAGGCGUUACCCGCAGAAGAAGCACCGGCUAACUCCGUGCCAGCAGCCGCGGUAAUAC
rnacentral:rRNA from 1 species